AUUGAACGCCGGCGGCAGGCUUAACACAUGCAAGUCGAGCGGGGUGAUGGUGCUUGCACUAUCACUUAGCGGCGGACGGGUGAGUAAUGCUUAGGAAUCUGCCUAUUAGUGGGGGACAACAUCUCGAAAGGGAUGCUAAUACCGCAUACGUCCUACGGGAGAAAGCAGGGGAUCACUUGUGACCUUGCGCUAAUAGAUGAGCCUAAGUCGGAUUAGCUAGUUGGUGGGGUAAAGGCCUACCAAGGCGACGGUCUGUAGCGGGUCUGAGAGGAUGAUCCGCCAAACUGGGGCUGAGAAAAGGGCCAGACUCCUACGGGAGGCAGCAGUGGGGGAUAUUGGACAAUGGGGGGAACCCUGAUCCAGCCAUGCCGCGUGUGUGAAGAAGGCCUUAUGGUUGUAAAGCACUUUAAGCGAGGAGGAGGCUCUUUUGGUUAAUACCCAAGAUGAGUGGACGUUACUCGCAGAAUAAGCACCGGCUAACUCUGUGCCAGCCGCCGCCGUAA
rnacentral:rRNA from 1 species